CAAGUUUAUGUUCAGAACUUCAUGGAAGGAGAAAGAAUGAUGAGAAUCUUCAACUACAAAACCCAAAAGCAUAAAUCUAUUUCAAGAAGUUGAUGAUAACAAUCAUGAGACUUUGAGUUUGAAGUUAUCUAAGAGUGUGGGGCUUGGAGGACGGUGAUGUCUUUGUUUCUUAUUAUUACAUAUACUUUGUGUUUUAUGAUUAAGAAUGAUGAUCAUAACUUGUUUUGUAAUAUGAAUAAGAACGAUGUUCCUAAUUAGUUGUAAGUAUGUAAUGACCAACUAUAUGUAUAUUCAAGGAUAUAUAUGCAAUUUGUUAGUU